rnacentral:rRNA from 1 species
GAUGAACGCUGGCGGCGUGCCUAACACAUGCAAGUCGAGCGAGAUUAGUGCAAGUGGAGACUUCGGUCAAAGCGACCACUAUGAAAGCGGCGGACGGGUGAGUAACGCGUGAGCAAUCUGCCCCAUACAAAGGGAUACCCACUGGAAACGGUGAUUAAUACCUUAUAAGACCACGAAGUCGCCUGGCUUAGUGGCCAAAGAUUUAUCGGUAUGGGAUGAGCUCGCGUCUGAUUAGCUAGUUGGUGAGGUAAUGGCUCACCAAGGCGACGAUCAGUAGCCGACCUGAGAGGGUGAACGGCCACACUGGAACUGAGACACGGUCCAGACUCCUACGGGAGGCAGCAGUGGGGAAUAUUGCACAAUGGGCGCAAGCCUGAUGCAGCAACGCCGCGUGAAUGAUGAAGGCCUUCGGGUCGUAAAGUUCUGUCCUAAGGGAAGAAUACAGUGACGGUACCUUAGGAGGAAGCCCCGGCUAACUACGUGCCAGCCGCCGCAGUAACAC